AGGGUCCUUUUGGAAACUGGGAAACUUUGGUCCGAAGGAGGGAAAGGGAAUUUCCCUGUGUAGCGGGUGAAAGGCCGAGAUUUGGGGGGACACCAGUGGCGAAGGCGACUUUCUGGUCUGUAACUGACGCUGAUGUGCGAAAGCGUGGGGAUCAAACAGGAUUAGAUACCCUGGUAGUCCACGCCGUAAACGAUGAGUGGUAAGUGUUAGGGGGUUUCCGCCCCUUAGUGCUGCAGCUAACGCAUUAAGCACUCCGCCUGGGGAGUACGACCGCAAGGUUGAAACUCAAAGGAAUUGACGGGGACCCGCACAAGCGGUGGAGCAUGUGGUUUAAUUUGAAGCAACGCGAAGAACCUUACCAAAUCUUGACAUCCUUUGACCCUUCUAGAGAUAGAAGUUUCCCCUUCGGGGGACAAAGUGACAGGUGGUGCAUGGUUGUCGUCAGCUCGUGUCGUGAGAUGUUGGGUUAAGUCCCGCAACGAGCGCAACCCUUAAGCUUAGUUGCCAUCAUUAAGUUGGGCACUUUAAGUUGACUGCCGGUGACAAACCGGAGGAAGGUGGGGAUGACGUCAAAUCAUCAUGCCCCUUAUGAUUUGGGCUACACACGUGCUACAAUGGACAAUACAAAGGGCAGCGAAACCGCGAGGUCAAGCAAAUCCCAUAAAGUUGUUCUCAGUUGGGAUUGUAGUUUGCAACUCGACUCCAUGAAGCUGGAAUCGCUAGAAAUCGUAGUUAAGCAGAUGCCGAUAGUGUUUUCCCCGGCCGUAACAAGGCCGCACAUCGUAGAGUGUGACAAGGUAGCACAAGUCGUAGCAAGGUAGCCCGUAACAAGUAGCAGCGGCUAGGAGUUACUC
rnacentral:rRNA from 1 species